UACGUAGGGGGCUAGCGUUGUCCGGAAUCAUUGGGCGUAAAGAGCGCGUAGGCGGCCAGAUAAGUCCGGUGUGAAAGUCAAAGGCUCAACCUUUGAAUGCCGCUGGAAACUGUCUGGCUAGAGUCCGGGAGGGGCGAGUGGAAUUCCUGGUGUAGCGGUGAAAUGCGCAGAUAUCAGGAGGAACACCGGUGGCGAAGGCGGAUCUCUGGGCCAUUACUGACGCUGAGGAGCGAAAGCGUGGGGAGCGAACAGG
rnacentral:rRNA from 1 species